rnacentral:rRNA from 1 species
CUGCUGCCUCCCGUAGGAGUCUGGUCCGUGUCUCAGUACCAGUGUGGGGGACCUUCCUCUCAGAACCCCUACGCAUCGUCGCCACGGUGGGCCGUCACCCCGCCGUCUAGCUAAUGCGCCGCAUGCCCAUCCGCCACCGGAUCGCUCCUUUGGCCACCGGAGGAUGCCCUCCGGUGGCGUCACGGGGUAUUAGGCCGCGUUUCCGCGGGUUAUCCCCCUGUGGCGGCCAGGUUGCAUACGUGUUACUCACCCGUGCGCCGGUCGCCGGG